rnacentral:rRNA from 1 species
GACGAACGCUGGCGGCGUGCUUAACACAUGCAAGUCGAACGGAAAGGCCCUGCUUUUGUGGGGUGCUCGAGUGGCGAACGGGUGAGUAACACGUGAGUAACCUGCCCUUGACUUUGGGAUAACUUCAGGAAACUGGGGCUAAUACCGGAUAGGAGCUCCUGCUGCAUGGUGGGGGUUGGAAAGUUUCGGCGGUUGGGGAUGGACUCGCGGCUUAUCAGCUUGUUGGUGGGGUAGUGGCUUACCAAGGCUGUGACGGGUAGCCGGCCUGAGAGGGUGACCGGCCACAUUGGGACUGGGAUACGGCCCAGACUGCUACGGGAGGCAGCAGUGGGGAAUAGUCCACAAUGGGCGGAAGCCUGAUGCAGCAACGCCGCGUUCUGGAUGACGGUCUUCGGGUUGUAAACCGCUUUCGCCUGUGACGAAGCGGGAGUGACGGUAAUGGGUAAAGAAGCACCGGCUAACUACGUG